UACAGAGGGUGCUAGCGUUGUUCGGAAUCAUUGGGCGUAAGAGCGUGUAGGCGGCUAGGUAGGUCCGUUGUGAAAACUCGAGCUCAACCUCGAGACGCCGGUGGAAACCAUCUAGCUAGAGUCCGGAAGAGGAGAGUGGAAUUCCUGGUGUGAGCGGUGGAAAUGACGCAGAGUAUCAGGAAGAACACCCGUGGCGAAGGCGGCUCUCUAGGACGUGACUGACGCUGAGACGCGAAAGCGUGGGGAGCGAACAGG
rnacentral:rRNA from 1 species